rnacentral:rRNA from 1 species
UACGGAGGGUGCAAGCGUUAUCCGGAUUCACUGGGUUUAAAGGGUGCGUAGGCGGAUCGGUAAGUCAGUGGUGAAAGCCCCGAGCUCAACUUGGGAAUUGCCAUUGAUACUGCCAGUCUUGAGUACGGUUGAAGUGGGCGGAAUGUUGCAUGUAGCGGUGAAAUGCUUAGAAUAUGCAACAGAACACCGAUUGCGUAGGCAGCUCACUAAGCCGUAACUGACGCUGAGGCACGAAAGCGUGGGGAUCAAA